rnacentral:rRNA from 1 species
GACGAACCGUGCGAACGUUGUUCGGAAUCACUGGGCUUAAAGGGCGCGUAGGCGGACCAUCAAGUCGGGGGUGAAAUCUUUCAGCCCAACUGGAAAAGGGCUUCCGAUACUGGUGGUCUCGAGGGAGGUAGGGGUCGAGGGAACUAAUGGUGGAGCGGUGAAAUGCGUAGAUAUCAUUAGGAACGCCGGUGGCGAAAGCGCUCGACUGGACCUCUUCUGACGCUGAGGAGCGAAAGCCAGGGGAGCAAACGGG